AAAAAAAAAAAAGAAAGAAAGAAAAAAGAAAGAAAAUGAGAUCUGGACAUGCGUUCUCAAAAAAUUAAAUUGGUUCCCAGAUGAGCUGUGUUUCUGUUUGGCAACAAGGCUGUCUUCGUUUGGGGGAUGGGGUGCGGACUCCUUAAGAAGGGCGCCUAUGUCCAUUCAGACUUCCAUAGUAGAAUACCAUACAUGGGUGACUUAGAAACUGCUGGAAUUCAUUUCUUGUGGUUGUACAGCCUGGAGGCCUAAGAUGGAGGCACCAGCAGAUUUGGGGUCUGUUGAGGCCCUGCUUCUGGGUUCAUGGAUGGCCAUCUUCUCGCUGUGUCCUCACAUGGCAGAAGGCACAAGGGAGCUCUCUGGGGUCUCUAUAAGGACAUUAAUCCUAUCAUCUGCCAAAGGCCCGCCUCCUAAUACCAUCACCUUGGUUAGCAUUUUAGCAUGCAAAAUUGAGAGGACACAAUAUUCAGUGUACAGAAGAGUGGUCUGGUUUUGUUUCUGUUAUGUUUUGACAUUUUCUAUGGUGAAUAUUUUGUUAGAGGGAAUCCUAGAGAUUAACAUCAUCCAGAUAGCAGAUGUCCUAAGCCCUGAGCUACAGCCUGACAACUCCCUGAUGGACUUCACUGUGACCUGCGAGGGGACCAUCCCCACAGAGGUCUGUACCAUCAUCUCGGACCCCACCUGCCAGCUUGCCCAGGACAUGGUCUGCAACAGUGUGGAUAUGGACGACACAUGCCUGGUGACCGUGAGAAGAGCCUUCAAAGGCUCUGGGAUGUACUGUGUAAACUUCACUCUGGGUGACAAUGCAAGUCUGGCCCUCACCAGCACCCUGGUCUCCAUCGCUGGCAAAGGUGAGUUUUGUUUUAUGGUCCUAAGAGCACUUCAUAUUGCAGGUAGAGUCUGCCCACUAAUUGAAGCCAUAGAUGGGUUUGCAUCAAUGCUGAAUUUUAUUUCAGUGCAGAACUCAUACUGGCAUGAAAAUCCAGCAGCAAAACUACUUAGGGAAGUGGUGAGGGAAAUUCAGUAAAAUCGUGAUCAAAGAAAAGUCUUUUGAUGGAAAAAAAAAAGUCAUCUGUGAUCAUGGACCAGUAAUAAUGGGAUAUGAUCAUUGCAUGCUUGAAUAGAUUUGUUUUUCAAGAGGAAAAUGUAAAGCUCUGUGUCAAAAAAAAAAAAAUAGCAAUGGCAUGAUAACAAAGGAGAGGCUGAGAUCUGGUUUUCAUGAGAGUCCACCUGGGCACAGGUGUGAAGCCCAGAGAAAGAGGAAACUAAGUGGACCCCAGCUCCCCUCAAACCUGCCGUGUGUCCUUUCUCCUUUCUCCAAAUCUGCCAACUGUUGCACGGAGGCAGGAACAAAGCAACUUAUCUGCGCUUCAGAUGCUCACCAGAAAAACUGCUCUUUGCCCUCCUAAUGCUGGGAGGGGCAAAACGUUAACAAAGCAGAUGGAGGGAUUUCACUUAGAAGUUUGCAAUUACUGGUGGCAUCCAAUAAAUGUAUAAGUACAUUUUAUCUUAUAAAAUAAGCAAGUCCCGAACCCCAGUGACCUUAACUAAAUCUCAGUUAUAACCAACUUUCUCUUAAGACUCCUUUAUGUCUUAGAAGUGCUAUGUGAUGGAAUACAAGGAAAAGGUGAUAGCUGUGUACACCUUGCACUAAUUCUGCCCUAUGAUUUUCAUAUUGUCAGGUUCAACCUAAUGACUGUUUCACUUACAACUCCUUUGGACUUGCUUAUUUUACAAGAUAAAAUGUACUUAUAGAUUUAUUCAUCAAUUACAUGAAAGGCAACUUUAACCCUAUUAAAAGAAAAAUCUAAUAUAGCAGUAGUCCUGUGAAGACAGGGACAUGUUGUGAGAAACUUGCCAUUGGGCACUUAUUUCAUCAUUGUGUGAAUACUGUAGAGUUUGCUUACCCAGACCCAGAUGGUGUAGGUCACUCGCUGCAUGUGGCACACACCUGUAAUCCCAGCUACUCUGGAGGCUGAGGCAGGGUAUCACAAGUUUGAGGCCCACUAGGUAACUUAGCAAGGCUCUGCCCCACCCCCCAAAAUAAAUGGCUGGGGAUAUAGCUCAGUGCUAGAGCACUUGUCUAGCAAGCUCAAGGCCCUGGGUUAAAUUCCUAACACUGAAGGAGGAAGACAGAGAUGAAGAGGGAGAGGGAAGAGGAAGAAAGGCACAGGGAGAGAGAGAGAAAAGGAGAGAGGGAAGUCUAUAUAGACUUUUAGCUGAAAUUAAUUUUAUUUAUGGACCCAGUGAAUACUCAUGAAGCACUUCUAAUACUUUCAACAAAUAAUCAUUGAGUAUCUACUGCAUGCCCAACACAGUUCUGUGCAUGAGAUAAAAUUCUAGAUAAAGUGAGGAACAAGACAAAGAUUUUUGCCUUUCUGAGCAGUGACAGAUGUUAAAAGAAAAAAAUUGAG
rnacentral:lncRNA from 1 species